rnacentral:rRNA from 1 species
AGAGUUUGAUUAUGGCUCAGGAUGAACGCUGGCGGCGUGCUUAACACAUGCAAGUCGAACGAAGCAACUAUCUGCUUGCAAGAAAGUUGACUAGUGGCGGACGGGUGAGUAACGCGUGGGUAACCUGCCUCAUACAGGGGGAUAACAGUUGGAAACGACUGCUAAGACCGCAUAACCCGCUAGUGUCGCAUGACACGGACGGAAAAUAUUUAUAGGUAUGAGAUGGGCCCGCGUCUGAUUAGCUAGUUGGUAAGGUAACGGCUUACCAAGGCGACGAUCAGUAGCCGACUUGAGAGAGUGAUCGGCCACAUUGGGACUGAGACACGGCCCAAACUCCUACGGGAGGCAGCAGUGGGGAAUAUUGGACAAUGGGGGAAACCCUGAUCCAGCGAACCGCCGCGUGAGUGAAGAAGUAUUUCGGUAUGUAAAGCUCUAUCAGCAGGGAAGAUAAUGACAGUACCUGACUAAGAAGCCCCGGCUAACUACGUGCCAGCCGCAGC